rnacentral:lncRNA from 1 species
GCAGAAGGCAAAGGGUGGUUGUGUGUGGUUGGGAGCUUGUUUACAGAACUGGGUUUGGAAGCUCAUUUCUUGAUUAUUCAUCUCCAGUUCCCAGACCAGGUGAUGCUUGCAUUUAAGCAGGAAUUGUGUGCCUGCCAUGUACCAUAUAUCUCAAACUCCCAGCUUCAUGGUCCUCAAAAAUGCUAUUUCAGAGAAAGCAAAACUUGGGGGUCUCUCCAUCCCUGGGCCAUCAGGAAUCUGCCUUAACUACAGAGAAUAAAGCCGUGAAUACCAUAAGCCA